GAAACUGCGAAUGGCUCAUUAUAUAAGUUAUCGUUUAUUUGAUAUUGCCUAUCCUACAUGGAUAACAGUGGUAAUUCUAGAGCUAAUACAUGCUGAAAAUCCCGACUUCGGAAGGGACGUAUUUAUUAGAAUCAGAACCAAUGCCCUUCGGGGUUCCUUGGUGACUCAUGAUAACUCCACAGAUCGCAUGGCCUUGCGCCGGCGAUGGCUCAUUCAAAUUUCUUCCCUAUCAACUUUCGACGGUACGGUAUUGGCCUACCGUGGUUGUAACGGGUGACGGAGGGUUAGGGCUCGACCCCGGAGAGGGAGCCUGAGAAACGGCUACCACAUCCAAGGAAGGCAGCAGGCGCGCAAAUUAUCCAAUCCCGACACGGGGAGAUAGUGACAAUAAAUACCGAUACAGGGCUCUUUUGGGCCCUGUAAUUGGAAUGAGUACAAUUUAAACCUCUUAACGAGGAACAAUUGGAGGGCAAGUCUGGUGCCAGCAGCCGCGGUAAUUCCAGCUCCAAUAGCGUAUAUUAAAGUUGUUGUGGUUAAAAAGCUCGUAGUCGAACCUCGAACCUGGCCGGCCGGUCCGCCUCACCGCGUGCACUGGUCUGGCCGGGUUCUUCCCUCUGCGGAACCGCAUGUCCUUCACUGGGCGUGUCGGGGAGGCAGGACUUUUACUUUGAAAAAAUUAGAGUGCUCAAGGCAGGCCAAUGCUCGAAUACAUUAGCAUGGAAUAAUAGAAUAGGACGUUGGUUCUAUUUUGUUGGUUUCUAGGACCGCCGUAAUGAUCAAUAGGGACGGUCGGGGGCAUCAGUAUUCAGCCGUCAGAGGUGAAAUUCUUGGACCGGCUGAAGACUAACUACU
rnacentral:rRNA from 1 species